rnacentral:rRNA from 1 species
CUACGGGUUGCAGCAGUGGGGAAUAUUGGACAAUGGGCGCAAGCCUGAUCCAGCAAUGCCGCGUGAGUGAAGACGGCCUUAGGGUUGUAAAACUCUUUCGCUAGGGAAGAUAAUGACUGUACCUAGUAAAGAAGUCCCGGCUAACUCCGUGCCAGCAGCCGCGGUAAUACGGAGGGGACUAGCGUUGUUCGGAAUUACUGGGCGUAAAGAGUUCGUAGGCGGACUGACAAGUUAGAGGCGAAAUCCCAGGGCUCAACCCUGGAACUGCCUUUAAAACUGUCAGUCUAGAGACCGGAAGAGGUUAGGGGAAUACCUAGUGUAGAGGUGAAAUUCGUAGAUAUUAGGUGGAACACCAGUGGCGAAGGCGCCUAACUGGUCCGGUACUGACGCUGAGGAACGAAAGCGUGGGGAGCAAACAGGAUUAGAUACCCUUGUAGUC